CAUUAAAAAAUCAGUCAAGAAAGCGAUAGAAUUGAAAAAAAAUAUUUAAUUGACACUGAAUGAAAAUAAUAUGUCUUUGAAAAUUAAUUUGAACAUUUUAGAACAACAAAUCUUCAUAUAAAGCGUUCUAGUUGGAAAGUUUACAGAUAUUUUAUCGUUGACCACACAAUACAGCUGGAGCACGCACAACAGCUGGGUGCUGGGUAAACAAAUACACGGACGAAACGCUGUGCAAAAUAUUGUUUCGAUUUAGAUCAACUUAACACUAUAAUUGAAUUUUCUCACAAAACCUAUAAUGAUAUUUUUUGAGGCUGACUGACUAAAGAUGGAGUCACCUUUCUUUUGCCUUGGUUUGUUGUGGAUUUCUGCACCUCUGGUGUAUUGUGUUGCUUGAUUUUUGGUGGACGGCCUUGUGGAACUUGAGCAGCACCUUUCGAAACACCCUUUCGUCUUCUUGCUCGCCCACUUGACUGAAUGGGAAUUCGUCCACUUCGUGAGCAGACAGAACCAAUCUGCCGAUAGAUGGCAACAAUGGAAGCUGUGGCAGCAGGUGCACUCUUCGGUUUGUUCAAAGCCUUACUUAACUUUCUUAGCAAUUCGUUUGAUGCAUCAGUUUUGGCCAACUCGAUCAAGCUGGCAAAUGCAUCUUUGCACUCAUUCACCAAAUCUUCUUUCUCAGCCUCAUCAAAAGGAUCAAGGUCUUGUUCUUCACUAUGAAUUUCGCAUGCGUGAAGCUCUUCGUCAAAUUCCACUUGUGCAUCCGACACAAAAUGAGCAACUAUUGUUAAAGAAAUUAUAUAUUUUAAAAUAUUUUAUUGUUUUUACAUUAACCAACCAUCUAAAUUUGGCUCCUUUUCAGUUGGAUCAACUUCUGUUCGGCCUAAAAAGAAUUUCAAGUCAGGGCAUUUGCUGCCGAGGGCCAAGCGAGCAAGUUCGAGUCGAUCGCCACUAAGAAGUGGAGGAGCCGAGGGCAUGGAGAUGUUGAAGUAUUUAACAAGCAGAGAUUGGUGUUUGCAGAAUGCACCACCCUCACCAACUGGACAGGAGCACACACCAAUCUUUGAAUGGACUUCAUAAAAGGUUUGAUCUUUUCCAUCCUGCUUAGUAACUUGUGGAAGACAAUGGAGUGGGCUGAGUGUCGAUUAUGUGCAUGGUCAAGGAGCCGCCGCUUGUAGUAAGACUCCAUGGGCCCAAUUACAAAUUCUACCAAGGCCACAGGAUUGAAUGCCUGCAAUAAAAUUAUAUUUCUAUCUCAUUCUUGUUAUUAAAACUGCUAAAUCAACAACCUUCAUUCUAUCAAGUACAGCCUCUUUAACAAUUUUGAUGCUGGACUCUGCAUAGUUGUUGGUGUGGUUGUUUCUUAAUAGAAGAUCACUCCUUUUGUAAAUAGCCCAUUCAUUUUUUCUUUUUAGGUAGGUAGUUCAAACCGAGCAACGAAUUUUUUUUCUGACUUCAAACUUUGGAUCUCAUCCACUCCUUUGUCAAAUUCCUCUUGAUUUGCAGCAUAAACGACCUGAAUUUAAGUUGCUAUUAAAUUAAAUUUUAAAAUUAUAGAAAAGUAAAUUAAAUUAUACUUUGUAAAAUAGGCCCAUCAGUUUUUUCCUCACAUCCUUGGUAGAAUUAGAUAGGAGCCAUUUCCAUUCCUUUGAUAAUACAUGGAAAGUGCACAAUAGCUGG